GACGAACCGUGCAAACGUUGUUCGGAAUAACUGGGCUUAAAGGGCGCGUAGGCGGCUUGUCAAGUCAGGGGUGAAAUCUUUCGGCUUAACCGGAAAAGUGCCUUUGAUACUGACAGGCUCGAGGGAGGUAGGGGUAUGUGGAACUUCUGGUGGAGCGGUGAAAUGCGUUGAUAUCAGAAGGAACGCCGGUGGCGAAAGCGACGUACUGGACCUCUUCUGACGCUGAGGCGCGAAAGCUAGGGGAGCAAACGGG
rnacentral:rRNA from 1 species